rnacentral:lncRNA from 1 species
CCAUACCACUUUCAAAGCUGAAAUCCAAUAUAAAGUAGUCUUGUUGUUAAUUUAAAAUCUUAUAAUGUAUUAUUAAGAAGGUGUUUAUUAAAAUGGAAUUAAGCAUGACGGCCUUAUGAUAAAAUGAGUGGUAUCUGGAUCUGUACUUGAUGGAAAAGGAGAUAAAUAAAUCUUACCUGAUGAAUGAAGAAAUAUUAAAAAUUAUACACUCACAAAAGGUUUUUUGAAUAAAAUAUUAACACAGAAAA